GUGGGAGGAAGCUAAUUGUAGAGGCCACCAGCAGAGUGAGAAUUCACUCGAUACCAACGCCUCGGGGAAGGUCUGAGACAGGAGCCAUUGGUCCCCCUCGCAGCGGGUCACCAUAACCUGGUGAGGGUGCACAGAAAUUACUGGCCUCACUGAGUGGGGAUCACAGGAGAAGCUGCUUGAUGUCCUUCAGACCAACUGGUGGAUGUGAACUCAGUGGCUUGGAAACGCCCACGGCUGGCAGAUGAGUCCAAUGGAUGAGGUGGAGCACAGCGCCAGAACCCAAUUCAGACUACUCUCCUCCCAC
ensembl:ribozyme RNaseP_nuc Nuclear RNase P